rnacentral:rRNA from 1 species
GAUCGGCCCGCGUCUGAUUAGCUAGUUGGUGAGGUAACGGCUCACCAAGGCGACGAUCAGUAGCUGGUCUGAGAGGAUGAUCAGCCUCACUGGGACUGAGAUACGGCCCAGACUCCUACGGGAGGCAGCAGUGGGGAAUAUUGGACAAUGGGCGCAAGCCUGAUCCAGCCAUGCCGCGGGGAUGAUGAAGGCCCUAGGGUUGAAAAGUCCUUUCGGCGGGGAAGAUAAUGACGGAACCCGCAGAAGAAGCCCCGGCUAACUUCGGGCCAGCAGCCGCGGAAAUACGAAGGGGGCUAGCGUUGCUCGGAAAUCACUGGGCGAAAAGCGCACGAAAGCGGCUUUUUAAGUCGGAGGGGAAAUCCCGGAGCUCAACUCAAGAACUGCCUCCAAUACUGGAAGGCUCGAGUCCGGGAAAGGUGAAGUGGAACCGACGAGUGAAAAAGGUGAAAAUUCCAAAAAAAUUCGAAAGAACAACAAGUGUGCGAAAGGGGGCCCACGGGCCCCGGGAACUGGAAGCUGAAAGAUCCCAAAGCGGGGGGGAGCAAAACAGGGAUUAAAAACACCCCGGGGAAAGAACAAGCCCGAAAAAAAGAAAGGGAAGGCCUACCCCGUUAGGGAAAGGACUUGCUCCGGUUAAGCG